rnacentral:lncRNA from 1 species
GCAAGGGAAGGGCAGGGAAGGAAAAGGGAAGGAAAAGGGCAGGGCAGGAAAAGGGAAGGGAAGAGAAGAGAAGAGAAAAGAAAAAAGAAAAGAAAAAAAGGAAAAGAAAGGGAAAGGGAAGGGCAGGAAAGGGCGGGAAAGGGAAGGGCAGGAAAGGGAAGGGCAGGAAAGGAAAGGGCAGGAAAGGAAAGGAAAAAAGAAAAAAGGGCAGGGCAAGGGCAGGGAAAGGGCAGGGAAAGGGCAGGGAAGGUCAGGGAAAGGUCAAGGGAAGGGCAGGGAAGGAAAAGGGAAGGAAAAGGGAAGGGCAGGGAAGGGAAGGGCAGGGCCGGGCAGCGAAGGGAAGGGAAGGGAAAGUAAAGGGCAGGGCAGGAAAGGGCUGGGCAGGGCAGGAAAGGAAAGGAAAGGAAAAAAGAAAAAAGGGCAGGGCAGUGCAAGGGCAGGGAAAGGGCAGGGAAAGGGAAGGGCAGGGAAAGGGAAGGGCAGGGACAGGUGGGAAGGGCAAGGGAAGAGCAGGGAAAGGGCAAGGGAAGGGCAGGGAAGGAAAAGGGAAGGGAAGGGAAGGAAAAGGGCAGGGCAGGAAAGGGAAGGAAAGAGUGAAAACAUUCAGAAGAGAGCUGAGGUUUAUAAGAAUCAGUCUUCUGGGUCAUCAUCUUCAGAGUUGUUAUGAUUGACUUUUCACUUAUACAGGACAACCACAUUUAUAUUUAGGUCACCUAUGAAAUGUUUAUUCAUCCACCUGUUCCCUUUCUGGAAAGAAGUAGACACAGACUGGAUCCAUGUUUUUGGGUUAUUUGGACCCAAUAGAAUGUGCAUAUGAAAUACAACUGACAACACACUGGAUUCCUGGAGUCUCAGAACCAGUGAAUCACAGAAUGUUUGAGGUAUGAAAGGAGCUUCUGGAGGCCAUCUGGUCCAAAACCCCUGCUCAAUAAGGGCCAACUAAAGCAGGUUGUCCAGGACCAUGUCCAUAUGGCUUUUGAUUAUCUCCAAGAAGGGAGACUCCACAAUCACUCUGGGCAACCUGUCUCAGUGCUCAGUCACCUGCACAGUAAAUACUUGCUUCCUGAUGUUGACAAAGAACCUCCUGUGUUCCAGUGUGUGCCCAUUGUUCCUUGUCCUGUCAAUGGGCACCACUGAAAAGAGCCUGGCUACAUCUUCUUUGUACCCUUCCUUCAGGUGUUUAUAAACACUGAUAGGAUCCCCCCUGAGCCUUCUUUUUUCUAGGCUAAACAGUCCCAGAUUUCUUAGCCUCUCCUGAUAGGAGACAUGCUUCAGUCCCUUGAUCAUCUUUGUGGCCUUUCAUUGCACUUUCUCCAGUAUGUUUAUAUCUCUCUUGUACUGAGAUAAUGGGGGCAGAAGAAAUGUAGAGAAGUUUUUAAGCACCUGAAGGAUUAUGUAAAUUGUUCAUCCUACUGAAGGUAAACAUAACAACCCCUCAGACAGUCUAGAAUCAUAUCAUAGAAUCAUACCAUAGAAUGGCUUGGGUUGGAAGGGACCUUAAGAAUCUCGUUCCACCCCCACUGAUAUUGGAAGGGAUGCCACCCACUAGAUCAGGUUGCCCAGGGCCUCAUCCAACCUGGCCUUGAACACCUCCAGGGAUGGGGCUUCCACAACUUCUCUGGGCAACCUAUUCCAGUACCUCAGCACCCUCUGAGUGAAGAAUUUCCUCCU